GCGAUAAUCAGCAAGAAAUUUUCCUGUUAAAUAUUAUGUAAAACGCAAUAAUAAUUUAUUGCUGACUCUCGAAACCAAACAUAUAUUUCAUGUAAAGCAAUAUUUCACCCUAAGUGAUUUGCAUUAAUGAGGUUUGACAGUGUUUCCUUUUUUUUUCAUAUGAAAAAACUUUGAUAUUUUUACGUUUUUCGUUCAUGUGGGAAAUGAUAAACACAAAAGAAUAAAAAAUAUUGUAAUCAACAUAUUUAGGUAUAACUAACUUCGUAACUGCCCUUGGAAAUUCUCUUAAGUUUUACUUUAAAACAGAGAAUUCCUUUUUUGAUUCUAGUUACUGUUUCACCUUUUGCCUGGCAAUGUAUUCAUGUCAUGAUGUCUUAUAGUAAUUGUCGCUUGUCGUAAUGGUAUUUCUUGAUUUUAUUCAUUAAGUAUCAGAAAUAUAUCGUAACUGAUUUUAUAUAUUUACUUAUAAAUUAUAUUCAAAACUUAUUUUUAAUUAGUCUGAGCAAUUUCAAGAAGACUUGUUCCUGACACUGCUGCACCUACUCCAUCACUUACAGCUAAAGAAUGGCUGAAUGGAAAAAACAGAAAUCCUAUUCUGAUAUCCAUGUAUGUAGACUGGGGCUGGAGCCAGAACCAAUUUACCAGUGGUUUAUUACCUGGAUUGUCAGUACUGAAUAAUUGCUGACAGAAACAAUGAAAGGAAGUGUAUAAUCAUUUCAGAAGAUAACAGAGUUGAUUGCAGAGAUCUGAGAAAAAAGAACAAUGAAGAUGCUCAUCAUAACAAGAUUUGGCCAUUAGUUAAGGAAACAAUGGUUGGAAGAUAUUGAGGUGGAUGUUAAAAACUGGAACUUUAAAAUCCAGAACCGUUAUUAAUGAUUAACCAUCCGGAGCCAGGCUCGGGCUUUCAAGGGUCUGAGUUAAACUGGAGAUAAGUUGGAUCUGGAAUGGUUUACUCCAACCUGUGAAGUUAACCUUUGUGGGCAUGCAUCUUCAGCUGUCUUAUUCUUUGCUUUAAGUAUGUCAAUUUCUGUCUUAUUUUUA